UACGAAGGGUGCAAGCGUUGCUCGGAAUUAUUGGGCGUAAAGGGUUGGUAGGUGGUCUUGUUUGUCUGAUGUGAAAUCCCAGGGCUUAACCCUGGAAGUGCAUCAGAAACGGCAAGACUAGAGUUCUAGAGGGGUUUGUGGAAUUCCCGGUGUAGCGGUGAAAUGCGUAGAGAUCGGGAGGAACACCAGCGGCGAAGGCGGCAAACUGGAUAGAUACUGACACUCAACAACGAAAGCGUGGGGAGCAAACAGG
rnacentral:rRNA from 1 species